GGCUAGGGAGCUCAGUGGUAGAGCACUUGCCUAGCAUGUGUGAGGUCCUGGGUUCAAUUCCCAGCACAGUAA
rnacentral:tRNA from 1 species